UCCCUAAUAGCUCAAUUGGUAGAGCACACGGCUGUUAACCGUGCGGUUGUUGGUUCGAGUCCAGCUUAGGGAG
rnacentral:tRNA from 1 species